rnacentral:lncRNA from 1 species
AUAUUUUUAAAAUUAGUUCAAAAGCUGUCUAAUUAUAAUGGCGAAUUGAGCAUGAAUUAACCAGAAAAGAUAUAAGCGUUAUCUUUGGGAUUCAACUUGUAAUGAUUUUCUAAUAAGGAAAACUACGGAAUCAUUUUUAAAAUAUCAGAAAGGGAAGUUAAUGCGCAAGAUUUUACUUCACAGUUAAAUGUUUUACUGGCGAUAGAAAUAAUGUUUUACAUCUUUCAGAUAGUUCGGACGAAGAACAGGCAGGUUUGACUGGCAAUAUAAAUGAUGUUGUACGCCAUGCAGAUAGCUCUGGC